rnacentral:rRNA from 1 species
ACAGCAGCAGCCACGGGAAUACAGAGGGUGCGAGCGUUAAUCGGAUUUACUGGGCGUAAAGCGUGCGUAGGCGGCUUCUUAAGUCGGAUGUGAAAUCCCUGAGCUUAACUUAGGAAUUGCAUUCGAUACUGGGAAGCUAGAGUAUGGGAGAGGAUGGUAGAAUUCCAGGUGUAGCGGUGAAAUGCGUAGAGAUCUGGAGGAAUACCGAUGGCGAAGGCAGCCAUCUGGCCUAAUACUGACGCUGAGGUACGAAAGCAUGGGGAGCAAACAGGAUUAGAUACCCCAGUAGUCCCUGUCUCUUAUAC